rnacentral:lncRNA from 1 species
UUUUUUUUUUUUUUAAUAAAAGUCCCAAUUUUUGCGUGAAAAUCAUGUUGGCCAACGAUUUAUAAACGAGGCAAGAUGAGGACAGUGGAGAGACCAUGAAGAUACAGACCAGUAUUCUUUUGGUAGUUAGUGAAACACUUUCCCAUGAAGAGUUACUGCCUCCUGGUGGUCAAUCUGGUGUACUUCAUGUGAAGAAUCCAUUCAGACUCCAGCAAUUUACAGUUUUACAGUUUCUCAAUCGCAUACAAGCAAUAUUUUUUGUAACAACGUUGUCAGUUUUCGAAACGGUGUUCACAAGACACAAAACUAUCUGACAGUUUGCAAAACAGUCCUUUAUUUUUUAUUUAUUUUUAUGUAGCUGCCUUUCCAAAACAAAUACAUCAAUCCAAACCAAAUGAUACUGUCAGACUUGCAAGUGCAUUCUUUAAAACAUGACCGUCUGCAAAAAGAUUAACACAAACAUACAUUUGUUGAGUCUAAGCUGACAAAACAGAAAGUUAGUCUGUCUUUUAAGUAGAUUUGAGAUCAAUAGAUUGUCUUUGCAGUAACUAAAUCAUGAUGAUCAAAUUUGGAAAUACAACUAUCGAAAGGUGCAGGAAUUAUAGGUAAUUACUGUCCUUUUUUUAAAUGCAUAUUUCACCAAACAAUUUCAUACACAUCAAAAUAAAUAUUAUUCCUGAUCAAAAAAGGAAAAAUAGAAAAUAUCCACAUUGUGUGCCGGAUUUAUUCAUCGCCAUCAUUAUAAUCCAGAUGCCGGUGUGCUCAUAGGUUCGUCAACUUUCCAACGACGCAGAAACACAAUCCACAAUCGAAAUAAAGAAACGGUGAAUACAACUGAUACGAACCAAGUCUCAAAUCACACCGAAAACAAACCUGUAAUGUUGGAGAUGAUGUCUUUUAGGAGUAACCCAAAGUUACUUACAAAAUAACUCAACUUUCUUCUCUGCAAUGUUGUCAAGAAUCAUAGCAGUUAGACAGUUCCCAUGUUUACAUCUUUCUUUAUAUUCUACUACUGAAAACGCCAUUUAACAUUUUGUACAGUUGCCGGAAACAGUGAACACAUUUGUAACAUGUUCUCUUCUUAUGAAAACAACGUGUUGAUAUUCUGUCAGCAAAACACUUUUACACUCGACUUUGUAUUCAUUGAUGACAAUUCUAUUUUUAGCAAAAAUGGGUCUAAGAUAUUCAAUCCAGGUAACAAAGACAAUAACAUUAUCUGACUUUCUGAAAAUCUAUUUAAUCAUUUGACCAUGGUUGGUUUGCUAUCGGUCCGUUUAGCCAUAGUUAAUUUGACAAUGGUUGGUUUGCUAUAGGCACGUUUAACCAGUUCAUUUGACCAUGGUUGGCUUGCUAUCGGUCCGUUUAGCCAUAGUUAAUUUGACAAUGGUUGGUUUGCUAUAGGCACGUUUAACCAGUUCAUUUGACCAUGGUUGGUUUGCUAUAGGUAUGUUUAACCAGUUAAUUUGACCAUGGUUGGUUUGCUAUAGGCACGUUUAACCAGUUCAUUUCACCAUGGUUGGUUUGCUAUAGGUAUGUUUAACCAGUUAAUUUGACCAUGGUUGGUUUGCUAUAGGUACGUUUAACCAGUUCAUUUGACCAUGGUUGGUUUGCUAUAGGUAUGUUUAACCAGUUAAUUUGACCAUGGUUGGUUUGCUAUAGGUACAUUUAACCAGUUCAUUUGACCAUGGUUAGUGUACUACAGGUUUAGCCAGUUAAUUUGACCAUGGUUGGCUUGCUAUCGGUCCGUUUAGCGAUAGUUAAUUUGACAAUGGUUGGUUUGCUAUAGGCACGUUUAACCAGUACAUUUGACCAUGGUUGGUUUGCUAUAGGUACAUUUAACCAGUUCAUUUGACCAUGGUUGGUUUGCUAUAGGUACAUUUAACCAGUUAAUUUGACCACGUUUGGUUUGCUAUAGGUUUAACCAGUUAAUUUGACCAUGGUUGGUUUGCUAUAGGUUUAACCAGUUAAUUUGACCAUGGUUGGUUUGCUAUAGGUUUAACCAGUUAAUUUGACCAUGGUUGGUUUGCUAUAGGUUUAACCAGUUAAUUUGACCAUGGUUGGUUUGCUAUAGGUUUAACCAGUUAAUUUGACCAUGGUUGGUUUGCUAUAGGUUUAACCAGUUCAUUUGACCACGGUUGGUUUGCUAUAGGUUUAACCAC